GAUGAACGCUGGCGGCGUGCCUAAUACAUGCAAGUCGAGCGAACGGACGAGAAGCUUGCUUCUCUGAUGUUAGCGGCGGACGGGUGAGUAACACGUGGAUAACCUACCUAUAAGACUGGGAUAACUUCGGGAAACCGGAGCUAAUACCGGAUAAUAUUUUGAACCGCAUGGUUCAAAAGUGUAAGACGGUCUUGCUGUCACUUAUAGAUGGAUCCGCGCUGCAUUAGCUAGUUGGUAAGGUAACGGCUUACCAAGGCAACGAUGCAUAGCCGACCUGAGAGACGGAUCGGCCACACUGGAACUAAAACACGGUCCAGACUCCUACGGGAGGCAGCAGUAGGGAAUGUUCCGCAACGGGCGAAAGCCUGACGGAGCAACGCCGCGUAGGUGAUGAAGGUCUUCGGAUCGUAAAACUCUGUUAUUAGGGAAGAACAUAUGUGUAAGUAGCUGUGCACAUCUUGAAGGUACCUAAUCAGAAAGCCACGGCUAACUACGUG
rnacentral:rRNA from 1 species